GUUGGUAGCCAUAGCGAGGAGGGUCCGCCCGAUCCCAUCCCGAACUCGGAAGCUAAGCUCCUCAGCGCCGAUGAUACUGCCACCGCGAGGUGGUGGGAAAGUAGGUCGUUGCCAACC
rnacentral:rRNA from 1 species